UACGGGGGGGGCAAGCGUUGUUCGGAAUUACUGGGCGUAAAGGGCUCGUAGGCGGCCAACUAAGUCGGACGUGAAAUCCCCAGGCUCAACCUGGGAACUGCGUCCGAUACUGGAUGGCUUGAAUUCGGGAGAGGGAUGCAGAAUUCCAGGUGUAGCGGUGAAAUGCGUAGAUAUCGGCAGGAACACCCAGGGGGAAACCAGCUGCCUGGGCAAGCGCUGACGCUGAGGUGCGAGAGCGUGGGGAGCGAACCGG
rnacentral:rRNA from 1 species